UUUUUUAUAAUUGAUAUUUAUUAAGUUUUCAAAGAAUAACAACAAAAAUUUCCAAAAAAUUUUGAAAAUACAAAAAACAAAAAUAGUACAUAAACAAAAAAGAAAAGAAAACCCAGCCGCAAAGAAAAAAAAGAAAAACAGAAAAACAAAAAUAUAAAGUCCUUUACAAUCUCUAUUUACUUCCUUUCUAGACUUCCUCCUCCUCCCCUCUCUUGUUUCUUAAUUUUUAAUUUUUACAGCAAAUCCUUUCUGUUUUUUCAUAACAAUCUGUCAUUACGUUUCCUUAUUCUAUUUUCCCUCUUGUCAUAUAAAAACUUUAAAACUCAUAGCUUAUAUUCGAUAUUUACCAAAUUCUUACAUCAUUACCUUUUUACGAAUCAUUUACCAAUCCUUACUUAAGCCAUGUAAUUUCAUUCAACAUCCUUCAAACAUUUAUAAACAUUCCCAAUAUU
rnacentral:lncRNA from 1 species